AGAACGAACGCUGGUCGGCGUGCCUAACACAUGCAAGUCCAACGUGAAAGGGGGAGCAAUCCCCCCGGUAGGGUGGCAAACGGGUGAGUAAUACAUGGGUGAUCUACCUUAGGGAUGGGGAUAUCCUUCCGAAAGGAGGGGCAAUACCGAAUAUUGUCCGGGACCAUGAAGGGUUCCGGGGAAAGGGAGGCCUCUGAUACAAGCUUUCGCCUUAAGAUGAGCCCAUGGCCCAUCAGCUAGUUGGUAGGUAAAGGUCCUACCAAGGCUACGACGGUCGCUGGUCUGAGUAGGACGGACCAGGCCACACUGGCACUGAGAUACGGGCCA
rnacentral:rRNA from 1 species